UAGUCCUUUUCCCUUUUCUAUGUCAGUGGAGAGAGAGUUGGGAAUCAUGGGUGGUGGUGGCUCUCCCACGCCGGACGGCCGGAGGGUCUGCUUCCGCCGCGACGGGGAGUUGAAUCAGUGAAGGUCACCGGAGCGAGGAGCCAGGAGUAGUCCGCGCGUCUUCCUCCCCGUGUCUUUGUCGCUGGCUGGGUACGGGAGGCAUGGGUUUGCGGGGAGGUCGAGGAGCUGGGUUCCUCCAUGCCGGAGCUUCCAGAGAGAUGGAUCAAGAUAAAUAAGAGAGGCUACAUACUUGAUCAAGACAGAUGCAGAGAAGAUGUGGACAAAAGUUUCCCCAUUUGCUACCGCCUUCUUCAUUUUUGUUGUAGGUGUACUCUUUCCCCUCCAUUGUAAGUCCCUUGCUUUUGUGGAUCUCUUUCUCUCGUUUUGUUCGGAUCCUCUUUUUGUUUUCCUCUGUAGUGGACGUCCGCCGCUGGGAUUGCAUGAGGAGGAAGAAGAAAGAAUGUUAACGUGAAGGCAGAACAGGUCACGUCGUCACGAAAUAAAGUCCCAGCUUUUCUGUUCGUGUGUAAGACUCAUAAAUACCCAGAUGUAGCAAACUAGCAAGAACGGAGCAGUUUAGUCCUUGUUAUCAUUACCAGGGCGCGAAAUGAGGCUGAAUUGAUUGGGA